rnacentral:rRNA from 1 species
GCUCAAGAACUACGAAAGGAAUUCGACGGGACCCGCACAAGCGGCGGAGCAUGCGGAUUAAUUCGAUGCAACGCGAAGAACCUUACCAAGGCUUGACAUAUAGAGGAAACGUCUGGAAACAGUCGCCCCGCAAGGUCUCUAUACAGGUGGUGCAUGGUUGUCGUCAGCUCGUGUCGUGAGAUGUUGGGUUAAGUCCCGCAACGAGCGCAACCCUCGUUCUAUGUUGCCAGCACGUAAUGGUGGGAACUCAUGGGAUACUGCCGGGGUCAACUCGGAGGAAGGUGGGGAUGACGUCAAAUCAUCAUGCCCCUUAUGUCUUGGGCUUCACGCAUGCUACAAUGGCCGGUACAAAGGGCUGCAAUACCGUAAGGUGGAGCGAAUCCCAAAAAGCCGGUCCCAGUUCGGAUUGAGGUCUGCAACUCGACCUCAUGAAGUCGGAGUCGCUAGUAAUCGCGGAUCAGCAUGCCACGGUGAAUACGUUCCCGGGCCUU